rnacentral:rRNA from 1 species
UACGAAGGGGGGCUAGCGUUGUUCGGAUUUACUGGGCGUAAAGCGCACGUAGGCGGUUUGUUAAGUCAGGGGUGAAAUCCCCAGAGCUCAACUCUGGAACUGCCUUUGAUACUGGCAAGCUCGAGUCCGGAAGAGGUAAGUGGAACUCCUAGUGUAGAGGUGGAAUUCGUAGAUAUUAGGAAGAACACCAGUGGCGAAGGCGGCUUACUGGUCCGGAACUGACGCUGAGGUGCGAAAGCGUGGGGGAGCAAACAGG